rnacentral:siRNA from 1 species
CUUCUUGUUUAUCUCCAACCAC